rnacentral:lncRNA from 1 species
ACGCCCUAUGGAGACUGUUAGAAAGGAUUUAGCAAGAUCAAGCUAAGAGCAGGGAGUACUAAGGUAGAGGCAAGAGAGAAUUCUGGAACUCUGGAGAGACUGACUCUGGAGGGGCAGUUGGUGGAAUUACUCUCUGGAGUAGGAGACUGAGACCUACUUGGAUCUGUUCCUGUGUGUUUCUGAGGCUGCUUUGAUUUUCACUAGGACUCCUACCAGGCUCAAGAGGACAACUAACCACAAGACACAGCUGAAACAUCGUCUUCAUGUAAAAUCUUUCCCAAUCCCUCAGAUUCUUUCUCAUCCACCCUUAUGUUGAACUACUUGCUACCUUCCUCUGGACAGUCCUGUUUAUCAAUGUCCUUUCUAAAUGAUGGCACCAAGAAUAGACUACUCAAAAAAAAAAAUCAAUCUUCCUGAUUUGGGGAUUGGCUAGAGAAAUCUGAGCUACUAUCAUCAAUGUAACAUCAUUAAUGGCCAUUAAUUGUUG